GGUUUGAUGGCGUAGUUGGUUAUCGCAUCUGUCUAACAUGAGAGCACAGAAGGUCCGCGGUUCGAGCCCGCGUCAAAUCA